GUUUAGGUUAAAUGUAAACUUUCAAAAUCACACUUGUUUGGUAAGAAGUUCCGCUCUAUGACGUCACAGUGACUCGCUUGAUAAUGCGAGUCUUCACCCAUCACCGGACGCUGCCUUCUGAAGAGUUGAUUCCAUAAGCGAGAAUAUAGAGCUUGCAGAAAUCUUCCUUCUUUCAGAGGCCUGAGACAUCUGAACCCAGUUCUCUCUCCGUCGAUGCCAGCUCCUCUUACCCACCCGUCAUCUGCAUCUUCUAGGGCUCACAGUGGAUAUUCCCAGUGGCUGAGGGAGAUAAUGGCUAGAGUAAGAGUGCCGGCACCAACCCGUGUGAAAAGAGCACACAGAAUCGCUCUGGUUUUGAGAUACAGGUCCUCACCAAUCAUCUGCUGA
rnacentral:lncRNA from 1 species